rnacentral:rRNA from 1 species
UGGGGAAUUUUGGACAAUGGGCGCAAGCCUGAUCCAGCCAUUCCGCGUGCAGGAUGAAGGCCCUCGGGUUGUAAACUGCUUUUGUACGGAACGAAAAGGCUCUGGUUAAUACCCGGGGCUCAUGACGGUACCGUAAGAAUAAGCACCGGCUAACUACGUGCCAGCAGCCGCGGUAAUACGUAGGGUGCAAGCGUUAAUCGGAAUUACUGGGCGUAAAGCGUGCGCAGGCGGUCUUGUAAGACAGAGGUGAAAUCCCCGGGCUCAACCUGGGAACUGCCUUUGUGACUGCAAGGCUGGAGUACGGCAGAGGGGGAUGGAAUUCCGCGUGUAGCAGUGAAAUGCGUAGAUAUGCGGAGGAACACCGAUGGCGAAGGCAAUCCCCUGGGCCUGUACUGACGCUCAUGCACGAAAGCGUGGGGAGCAAACAGGAUUAGAUACCCUGGUA